UGGCUGUCUCAUGGAGGGCAUUUGUGUAAGCUGAGCCAGACUGUGCCUAUUUACAUCCACCGUCUCCAUCCGUGAAAGAGAGGGUCACUCCAUCUGUCACGGUUUAUCAACUGACAAAUUCCCACCGGUGCUAAUGGCAAGCUCAGGGCCUUAAAAGGAAGAAAGGGCCUUUUCCUGGGGCCAUCAGAGUCGUAGUCUGUGGAGGCUCAAGCAAGGGUCCUGUGCUUGCCUGGGACUCUUCAUCACAGAGCGGAUGGCGGAUGGAGUUGAAGGAGGAGAGAGCAGCCCAGGCCUGGCAGCCUCAGCAGGGCCAGAUAACAGCUGAUACUGGGACUAAUUUGGUAAUGUGCAGGACGGAGUUUGGAGCUGCUGUAGGUCAAAGAGGAGACUGGCUGGGCGAGCGUUAAGCUGGUCAGGUGCUGCGCCACCAGUGAUCAUUAGGGUUACAGCUGCUUGGGCCAGAUUGUCUGCUGCCUGUGCCGGGCGAGAUGUCUCACCCUGGGAAAAAGAGCGAGCAUCUGUCUGUCCUUCCCCAUAGACACGAACCUCCUACCAGCCUGUCCAACUCAACCCGACUGGUAACAAGGAGGAAGAAACCAGAGAACCCUGGGGAAACCCCUGAAUCAUGAAGAGAACAUCAAACACUCAACCCUGGAGGUGGGAGGCAAAUGUGCUAACCACAAACCCACUGUAUACACAAACACCUACAGUGCACACUGCACUGAAUAGCAUGAGGUGACCUGAAGUGGCAACUUCUUCAGUUUUUUUUUUUACACUGAUGAACUUGAUGUCAAACUGAAAUGAUUGGAUGCUAAUCUGAAGCCAUUUGACUGAUUAUAAAGCAUACAGUGAUGGACUGGAUGAAAGAAGAACAGAUUUUCAGAUUAUUUAGUAGUAGGUUUAAAUAAAAAUGUAGGGAAUUAAAAGACAUUUUUCUUGGAAAUGUAAUUAAUAAAGAUGCCACUGAUCCAAUACCCACUAUCAGUAUUGGAUACAGAUAACAGAAAACAAAUGGUGGCUUGGCUGAUAGAAAAGAACAUCUGAAGAAUGUAUCAUAUCUGAUCAUGUUUUAGCUGAAUGGUUUCUGAUCCUGUAAAAAUGGAAAAGAUGCAAUUGGAUUUUGGAAGUUUAGUUUUGGAACUAGGAAUGUUUACAUAUAAAUAGACUUAAUUGCAAUUGCUUUUAUUUUAUAUUACAUAUUAUAUUUACUAUGAAUGUGAAAAAAAAUGUAUAUAGGAGGGGCACCAGUAUCAGCUGAUACUCAAGGUUUGGUACCAAACAUUGGUAUUGGUAUUGGUAUUGGUAUUGGUAUUG